rnacentral:rRNA from 1 species
UACGUAGGGGGCAAGCGUUGUCCGGAAUUAUUGGGCGUAAAGAGCGCGUAGGCGGUCCGAUAAGUCGGCUGUGAAAGUCAGGGGCUCAACCCUUGAAAGCCGGCCGAUACUGUCGGACUAGAGUCCGGAAGAGGCAAGUGGAAUUCCCGGUGUAGCGGUGAAAUGCGCAGAUAUCGGGAGGAACACCAAUGGCGAAGGCAGCCCCCUGGGUUAACACUGACGCUCAUGCACGAAAGCGUGGGGAGCAAACAGG